rnacentral:rRNA from 1 species
UACGGAAGGCAGCAGUGGGGAAUAUUGCACAAUGGGCGAAAGCCUGAUGCAGCUAUGCCGCGUGUAUGAAGAAGGCCUUAGGGUUGUAAAGUACUUUCAUCGGGGAGGAAAAACAAAACUAAUAAUUUUAUUUCUUGACGUUACCCGAAAAAGAAGCACCGGCUAACUCCGUGCCAGCAGCCGCGGUAAUACGGAGGGUGCUAGCGUUAAUCAGAAUUACUGGGCGUAAAGAGCACGUAGGUGGUUUUUUUAAAGUCAGAUGUGAAAUCCCUGGGCUUAACCUGGAACUGCAUUUUGAAACUGAAAUACUAGAGUAUCGUAGAGGGAGGUAGAAUUCUAGGUGUAGCGGUGAAAUGCGUAGAUAUCUGGAGGAAUACCUGUGGCGAAAGCGGCCUCCUAAACGAAUACUGACACUGAGGGUGCGAAAGCGUGGGGAGCAAACGAGGGAUUAGAUA